CAUUGAUUGCCACUGACGAUUUUGUUUCGCUUUUGGCAGAAGUGAAAUUAGGGGCUUUGCUUGGUAUUUUUGCAAUUCCAAUUAAAAUAAUGCUCCAUCUCCAUAAGUGAGGACUCAAAGAAGUCAUUAAAGGGAAAUUAAUGGGAAUGAAGACAACUGAUCGGGUGAGUUAAAGUUCUUUACCAGUAACUCAUGUUGGUAUUAGCUACUAUAAUUUUCCAAACAAAGUUUUAAGCUCUAUUAUUCAAAACUUCAGUUUUAAAGAGAUGAUACUAUGUUAUAUACUUUUGCUGUCGAGUAACUACUGCUUUGUAAAUCCAAAUAGAAAUAGUGAUACCCUUGUCAUAUAGUUGAAGUGUUAGAAGAAAUUUCUGUUUCUUAUUGAUGUAUCCCCUCAAACUGAUGUAGACUUUGUCAAAGGCUUAUUUAAUCAACCUAUUUAUAUGAGCUUUUACAGAUAAAUCUUUGUUCUUUUAAGUCAAACUGUAAUAUAACUUAUAAAUAAACCUUAUUUAUAAGUUAAACAUAUUUACUUAAAUGAAAAAGGUCUACAAAUAACUAUAAAUUGGGAUUGCCAUUGUCAGCUAGCAUAUACUUGUUCUUGAUAUAGACGGAAUGACAGGCUCACUGAUGCAAUCCAUAAAAUUUGAAGCUUUACUGUUCUUGAUGGUGAGUUAGUAUUUGUUAAGGUUUUCAUAGUCAUUUUCAGCUGCAACGUAUACUACAGUUCUUCAAUUUCAACUCCCAGUUCUCCUAUUGCUAUCAGAAGAGCGGUGAUCUUCAAGAGGAAAACAGAGAAAAUCAUAUUUUAGCCGUACAUGUUCUGUGAUGUUCUUUCUGUAAGUAACUUAUUUUUAGACGAUUCGUGUUCCCCUUACAUUACAGGGCGAUCUUAAGAAUUAGCUUGUUCAAGCAAAUAUUGUUUCUAACACAAUAUACAGCACUAAUACAAUCAUCGUGCAGAAUUAGCUUGUAACUAGAUUUCUUUUCUCAUCUUGUUAUUAAUGAUCUUUCUUUCCAUUUCUAGAUGGGUUCAGGACUACACUGGACCUACGUACUACUUCUAUUCCCCUCUUAAUGAUAUAUUCCAUUAGAUAGAUAUAUGUUUCCAGUGUGAUAGUUGUGUUACAUAUGCAGAUGCAGGUUAAUGGACUUUCAGGUGGAGAAAAGUUCCUUUUCUUCUCUUUGUGUUGUUCUGCAUGUUCAUUGAGUCAGCCAUGACUGCUGAAGGAAGCAGGAUUGGAGGUAGAAUGACAGACGUGGAAACUACAUCAGAUUUUCACUGACAAUACAACCAUAGUUUAAAAAGCGGCACUGCAUCAGUAGAGGAUUCGACCUUGAUAGAUAACCCUGUUGCCCAUGUUUUGUGCUGAUUACAAUAUCUAUAAUACAACUGAAUGGUAUAUCUCUCAGGUAAAGUUUUUCUUCUCACAAUCUGAUAUAAGGUUUCAAUUUUUUCUAGACGUGGAAUGGAAUUGGUCUGGCUAAUGAAAAGAACUUGUUGUUAGGAUUAUAGGGUACCAACUUGGCAAAAACUUCAGAUAGGUGUGAUUGGUAAUAAGCAAUCUCUAUAUUGCUUAAAUGAUAUAAUCAUUGAUAAGCAGGUCAUUACCACAUAACUUGAUACAUUCAACUGAAUUAGAUAAAACAUUGCAUUUCUUUCGAGUUAUGGCUUAACUAUGGGGAUCGAGCUAUGAAUUGAUGGAAAUUUAGUUUUUGUUCUUCACUGAGGCCGAGCCUUGGCGAAGCGGUAAGAGUUAUUGCUGCGUGACCAGGAGCACAUGGGUUCACAGCAAGAAACAUUCUCUGGAAGAAAUGCAAGAUAAGACUACGUAUAAAACUAUAUAGAAAUGUGAUCCAGCCUUUUUUCGUUGUUCUCUGCUCUCUAUUCCUCACUGCCCCCGCCAAGUUAUUUGAAUCCAUUUUGUGGGGACAAUACAGAACAACAAAUGAUAUCAAUGUGAUCUGGCCUUUCCUUAAACUUGGUGCAUUAGCGAGAACUUAGCGUAUCGAUCGGGCAUUUUAUUUUUAUAUUCUCUGUUCCUUGCUAGCCCUGCAAUUUUUUUGAAUAGCGACAUUAUAGAACAAACCAAUGAUAUCAGUCUGCUUAUCUGCAUGUACGGAUACAAGGGCAUACUGCUUGAGUUGCUUGAAAGAAACUAACAUUUUUUAGAUUGAUUUGCCAGAGGUCUUGCAGAUGAAAACUACUGUUCUAAAAGAGGCAAUCAAUGAAUAAAAACACCCAAUACUGACAGCAAAAUCAUUGAAGAGAGUAAAAAAAAAUUGGUUUAAAAAGCUUCAAUCAUCAGAUUUAGAGCUAAAGAAGAAUACAAUGUGGGUAUUAGAGGGAAUCAUCUACGAUUUAUCACACUCUCAUGCAAUGGAAGUACUUAAUGUUAUUGCAAAUAACUGUGCCUCUUGUCAUACAAUACUUUUAGCAGAUCUCAUAAACAAGCAAUCAACCACAAUGUGCAUUUCCAUUUUCCAUUUCUAUAGUGAUUAGCCUCUUCUGUUGUUGCCAUCACUAGGAUUUUCUCAAGUUAAUUUAUGCACUACAGAUAUCCUUCUAUGCCUUUGUAAGAAAUACUUACAUUUGGAAUGCAUAGUAGCACCAAGAAAGCUAAAAGAAUGCAAUACCAGCUUAUCUUUGUUAUUGAA